rnacentral:rRNA from 1 species
AUAUCAAUAAGCGGAGGAAAAGAAACUAACAAGGAUUCCCCUAGUAACUGCGAGUGAAGCGGGAAAAGCUCAAAUUUAAAAUCUGGCGGUCUUCGGCCGUCCGAGUUGUAGUCUGGAGAAGUGCUUUCCGCGCUGGACCGUGUACAAGUCUCUUGGAACAGAGCGUCAUAGAGGGUGAGAAUCCCGUCUUUGACACGGACUACCAGUGCUUUGUGAUGCGCUCUCAAAGAGUCGAGUUGUUUGGGAAUGCAGCUCAAAAUGGGUGGUAAAUUCCAUCUAAAGCUAAAUAUUGGCGAGAGACCGAUAGCGAACAAGUACCGUGAGGGAAAGAUGAAAAGCACUUUGGAAAGAGAGUUAAACAGUACGUGAAAUUGCUGAAAGGGAAACGAUUGAAGUCAGUCGCGUUGACCAGGACUCAGCCUUGCUUUUGCUUGGUGCAUUUUCUGGUUGACGGGCCAGCAUCGAUUUUGACCGUCGGAAAAAGGUUGGGGGAAUGUGGCACCUUCGGGUGUGUUAUAGCCCUCAGUCACAUACGGCGAUUGGGAUCGAGGACCGCAGCACGCCUUUAUGGCCGGGGUUCGCCCACGUUCGUGCUUAGGAUGCUGGCGUAAUGGCUUUAAACGACCCGUCUUGAAACACGGACCAAGGAGUCUAACAUGCCUGCGAGUGUUUGGGUGGAAAACCCGAGCGCGUAAUGAAAGUGAAAGUUGAGAUCCCUGUCGCGGGGAGCAUCGACGCCCGGACUUGAACUUCGGUGAUAGAUCUGCGGUAGAGCAUGUAUGUUGGGACCCGAAAGAUGGUGAACUAUGCCUGAAUAGGGUGAAGCCAGAGGAAACUCUGGUGGAGGCUCGUAGCGAUUCUGACGUGCAAAUCGAUCGUCAAAUUUGGGUAUAGGGGCGA